rnacentral:rRNA from 1 species
ACGGAAGGCAGCAGUGGGGAAUAUUGGGCAAUGGGCGCAAGCCUGACCCAGCAAUGCCGCGUGAAGGAAGAAGGCUUUCGGGUUGUAAACUUCUUUUAAGUGGGACGAUAAUGACGGUACCACUUGAAUAAGCUCCGGCUAACUACGUGCCAGCAGCCGCGGUAAUACGUAGGGAGCAAGCGUUAUCCGGAUUUACUGGGCGUAAAGGGCGUGUAGGCGGUCUUGCAAGUCAGAAGUGAAAUUCCUGAGCUCAACUCGGGCGCUGCUUCUGAAACUGCAGGACUUGAGUGCUGGAGGGGAUAGCGGAAUUCCUAGUGGAGCGGUAAAAUGCGCAGAUAUUAGGAAGAACACCGGUGGCGAAGGCGGCUAUCUGGACAGUAACUGACGCUGAGGCGCGAAAGCGUGGGGAGCAAACAGGAUUAGAUACCCUGGUA